GACGAACGCUGGCGGCGUGCCUAAUACAUGCAAGUCGAACGCACUCUCGUUAGAUUGAAGAAGCUUGCUUCUGAUUGAUAACAUUUGAGUGAGUGGCGGACGGGUGAGUAACACGUGGGUAACCUGCCCUAAAGUGGGGGAUAACAUUUGGAAACAGAUGCUAAUACCGCAUAAAACCUAAGCACCGCAUGGUGCAAGGUUGAAAGAUGGUUUCGGCUAUCACUUUAGGAUGGACCCGCGGUGCAUUAGUUAGUUGGUGAGGUAAAGGCUCACCAAGACCGUGAUGCAUAGCCGACCUGAGAGGGUAAUCGGCCACACUGGGACUGAGACACGGCCCAGACUCCUACGGGAGGCAGCAGUAGGGAAUCUUCCACAAUGGACGAAAGUCUGAUGGAGCAACGCCGCGUGAGUGAAGAAGGUUUCGGAUCGUAAAACUCUGUUGUUGGAGAAGACGUAUUGAUAGUAACUGAUCAGGUAGUGACGGUAUCCAACCAGAAA
rnacentral:rRNA from 1 species